rnacentral:rRNA from 1 species
CCUACGGGUGGCAGCAGUGAGGAAUAUUGGUCAAUGGACGAGAGUCUGAACCAGCCAAGUAGCGUGAAGGAUGACUGCCCUAUGGGUUGUAAACUUCUUUUAUAUGGGAAUAAAAUGUUCCACGUGUGGGAUUUUGUAUGUCCCUUAUGAUUAAGGAUCGGCUAACUCCGUGCAAGCAGCCGCGGUAAUACGGAGGGUCCGAGCGUUGUCCGGAUUUAUUGGGUUUAAAGGGAGCGUAGGUGGAUUGUUAAGCCAGUUGUGAAAGAUUGCGGCUCAACCGUAAAAUUGCAGUUGAAACUGGCAGGCUGGAGUACAGUAGAGGUGGGCGGAAUUCGUGGUGUAGCGGUGAAAUGCUUAGAUAUCACGAAGAACACCGAUUGCGAAGGCAGCUCACUGGACUGCAACUGACACUGAGGCUCGAAAGUGUGGGUAUCAAACAGGAUUAGAUACCCCUGUAGUC